UUUGAAAGCAGGACUUCAGAACA
rnacentral:piRNA from 1 species